rnacentral:misc_RNA from 1 species
AUUUCCCCAAUGGGUUCUCCGGAUUUCUGGAGACUUGUAGGGGUUGUGGGAUUUUUGAUGUGUCGUCUCCGGACGGGCGGUGCAGGGUAGUCGAGUUAGACUUGGUGGAAUUCCGUUGAUAGGAGUUCCGUCGAGUCUGGUCUGCUGUGUGUUGGACGGUGUAGGGUAGGCUGCUUGGACAUGGUCGGUUCGAGGAUCGAUUCGAGGGCCGGCCUGUCGAUGAUGUGUGAUGUAUGCGGUCUAGGGUAGGCUGGUUUGUCUUGGUUCAAUUUGAUGUCGGCUCCCGUGCAGGGCAGAGUGAGGGGGGUCCAGGGCAGGUACAGGGUAGGCAGCUUAGAUUUGGUCGAUCUGGAGGUCGAUUCUCCGGCUGGCGGAUCUGACACUGUCGAAACGAGAUGCGAGCGGUGUAGGGUAGGCUAGUUUCGUCCUCGCCAGGUUGCGAUUUGGACGAGACAUGUGGUUUAGGGUAGGCUCUAGGGUAAGUAGAAUUCGAGUUUCGUCGCCGACAGUUUUCUGUGGGUGUAUGGUAGGUACAGGGUAGGCAAAUCUCUCUCCGGCCAGUACUUGUCUGGUGGUCGUGAGUCGAUUUUUUUGUUUU